rnacentral:SRP_RNA from 1 species
ACUGGGCAUGGUGAUGCACUCCUAUAAUACCUGAUACUGGAGAGGCUGAGGCUGGUGAGUUCUCAGGAGUUCUCAGCUGUAGGAGGGCUAAUGCCAAUUAGGUAUUCACACUAAGUCUAGCAUCAAUAGAGUGAACUCCUUGGAGCAACAGAUGAACAGGCUACCUAAGCAGAGGCAGAUUGACCCAAAUAAGAAAUGGAGCAGGUCAAAGUUUCCAAGCUGAUCAGUAGUAGGAUAGGGUCUAGAGUGGCCUUGCAGUCUAGUCUAAGCAAGACACGGAGACCCAGUCUCCU